rnacentral:tRNA from 1 species
UCCCUGGUGGCUCAGAUGGUAAAGAAUCUGCCUGCAAUACAGGAGACCCGGGUUUGAUCCCUGGCUCAGGAA